GAUGAACGCUGGCGGCGUGCUUAACACAUGCAAGUCGAACGGAGUUUAUAUGACAGAGGAUUCGUCCAAUUGAUUAUAAACUUAGUGGCGGACGGGUGAGUAACGCGUGAGUAACCUGCCUUGGAGUGGGGAAUAACACAGAGAAAUUUGUGCUAAUACCGCAUAAUGCAUUUGUAUCGCAUGGUACUGAAUGCAAAAGAUUUAUCGCUCUGAGAUGGACUCGCGUCUGAUUAGCUAGUUGGCGGGGUAACGGCCGACCAAGGCGACGAUCAGUAGCCGUACUGAAAGGUUGGCCGCCCACAUUGGGACUGAGACACGGCCCAGACUCCUACGGGAGGCAGCAGUGGGGAAUAUUGGGCAAUGGGCGCAAGCCUGACCCAGCAACGCCGCGUGAAGGAAGAAGGCUUUCGGGUUGUAAACUUCUUUUGUCAGGGACGAAAAGAUGACGGUACCUGACGAAUAAGCCACGGCUAACUACGUGCCAGCCGCCGCGGUAACAC
rnacentral:rRNA from 1 species